UACGUAGGGUGCGAGCGUUGUCCGGAAUUAUUGGGCGUAAAGAGCUUGUAGGCGGUUUGUCGCGUCUGCUGUGAAAAUCCGGGGCUCAACCCCGGACUUGCAGUGGGUACGGGCAGACUAGAGUGUGGUAGGGGGAGACUGGAAUUCCUGGUGUAGCGGUGAAAUGCGCAGAUAUCAGGAGGAACACCGAUGGCGAAGGCAGGUCUCUGGGCCACUACUGACGCUGAGGAGCGAAAGCGUGGGGAGCGAACAGG
rnacentral:rRNA from 1 species